rnacentral:rRNA from 1 species
UAGGGAAUCUUCGGCAAUGGACGGAAGUCUGACCGAGCAACGCCGCGUGAGUGAAGAAGGUUUUCGGAUCGUAAAGCUCUGUUGUAAGAGAAGAACGAGUGUGAGAGUGGAAAGUUCACACUGUGACGGUAUCUUACCAGAAAGGGACGGCUAACUACGUGCCAGCAGCCGCGGUAAUACGUAGGUCCCGAGCGUUGUCCGGAUUUAUUGGGCGUAAAGCGAGCGCAGGCGGUUAGAUAAGUCUGAAGUUAAAGGCUGUGGCUUAACCAUAGUACGCUUUGGAAACUGUUUAACUUGAGUGCAAGAGGGGAGAGUGGAAUUCCAUGUGUAGCGGUGAAAUGCGUAGAUAUAUGGAGGAACACCGAUGGCGAAAGCGGCUCUCUGGCUUGUAACUGACGCUGAGGCUCGAAAGCGUGGGGAGCAAACAGGAUUAGAUACCCUGGUAGUCCACGCCGUAAACGAUGAGUGCUAGGUGUUAGACCCUUUCCGGGGUUUAGUGCCGCAGCUAACGCAUUAAGCACUCCGCCUGGGGAGUACGACCGCAAGGUUG